rnacentral:misc_RNA from 1 species
UCAAACUUGGUCAUUUAGAGGAAGUAAAAGUCGUAACAAGGUUUCCGUAGGUGAACCUGCGGAAGGAUCAUUAACAAAUUAUCCAACUAUGGAUAAUUUUAUCCAUACCCACCUUGUGUGAAUCAGUGAAUUGUUAGUUGGCAGGUGAGUCGAUUGCGACAUUAAGCGAGAGGGAUUUUCCUUAUCGGCCUGCCAAUUUUUAUUGUCUCGACACGUCUAUAAUGUUACCGACUGAAAUAAGAUUAACAAAAUAAUAAAUACAACUUUCAACAACGGAUCUCUUGGCUCUCGCAUCGAUGAAGAACGCAGC